AAUCUUGCGCAAUGGGUGAAAGCCUGACGCAGUCAUGCCGCGUGAAUGAUGAAUGUCAUAGGUUUGUAAAAUUCUUUCUCCGGGGACGAUAAUGACGGUACCCGGACAAGCAGCCCCGGCUAACUUCGUGCCAGCAGCCGCGGUAAUACGAAGGGGCCUAGCGUUGCUCGGAAUUACUGGGCGUAAAGGGCGAGUAGGCGGAUCGUUCAGUCAGCGGUGAAAUCCCAGGGCUCAACCCUGGAACUGCCUUUGAUACUGGCGAUCUUGAGUAUGAGAGAGGUAUGUGGAACUCCGAGUGUAGAGGUGAAAUUCGUAGAUAUUCGGAAGAACACCAGUGGCGAAGGCGACAUACUGGCUCAUUACUGACGCUGAAGCGCGAAAGCGUGGGGAGCAAACAG
rnacentral:rRNA from 1 species